ACUCCUACGGGAGGCAGCAGUGGGAAUAUUGCACAAUGGGCGGAAGCCUGAUGCAGCAACGCCGCGUGAGGGAUGACGGCCUUCGGGUUGUAAACCUCUUUAGCAGGGAAGAAGCGAGAGUGACGGUACCUGCAGAAAAGCACCGGCUAACUACGUGCCAGCAGCCGCGGUAAUACGUAGGGUGCAAGCGUUAUCCGGAAUUAUUGGGCGUAAAGAGCUCGUAGGCGGUCUGUCGCGUCUGCUGUGAAAUUCCGAGGCUCAACCUCGGGCUUGCAGUGGGUACGGGGCAGACUAGAGUGCGGUAGGGGAGAUUGGAAUUCCUGGUGUAGCGGUGGAAUGCGCAGAUAUCAGGAGGAACACCGAUGGCGAAGGCAGAUCUCUGGGCCGUAACUGACGCUGAGGAGCGAAAGGGUGGGGAGCAAACAGGCUUAGAUACCCUGGUAGGCUCUGC
rnacentral:rRNA from 1 species